GUGGUGCCACUUAGGCAUUUGAUCACUCCCAAAAUUGAACCAAGCAGAUUUUGAUUUGAUUGAAACUUGCUGCAAUUGUUGAUAGGGGUGUGUGUGAUGUGCCACUAAGGCAUUUCAUCACUCAAAAAACUGAACCAAGCAGAUUUUGAUUUGAAUGAAACUUGGUGCAAUUGCUGAUAGUGGUGGCACAACACAAAAAUCUCAAAUUUUAGGUCAGUCGGAGCAGGUUUUGACAAAUUUGUCGCUGUCAUGUGAAAAACACAGAUGUCCAUUUUGCGAAUUUCAAAUGUUUUACAUUGAUCGGUUGUCUGAACGAAAAAAAAAUAAUUCAAAAGACAAAAAUGGACAUCUGUGAUUUUCACAUGACAGCGACAAAAUGUUUGUGUGUGACUUAAGUGAGACAAACAACACUGGCUGACCACUUGUUCAAGAAAGCAGCAGCAGAGAGCGCCAAUUUUUGUGCUUGAGGAGGUGUGUGAUGUCACUUCAGUGCACUUUCACCUUAGUUUCAUGGACUGGAUGACACAUGCGCACGCAUCACUCAACGCUUCUGAACUUGUGCUUUCCCAAAUUGUUGAAAAUAUUGCAUUUUCUCCAAAGCACAUGUUCAGAAGCGGUGAGUGAUGUUGUUGCCUGCCUCCACGUGUGUCAGUGCUGUGCAGUCCAUGCUUCCUCAAGCAGACAGCACGGGGUCCUCUGCUGCUGGUUUCAAUGUACUGCCUGUCAGUUUGUGUCGGUGUGGAACUUUAGUCAAGCUUUGUUGGUAAAAUGAUGAGACAUUGUUGAAAAAAAUAAAUGCUUGUCAAUCAAUAUAUUGUUCCAUUGGAGUCUCCAUGUUUCGUUGCUCACCGAGUUUGAAAUGGCCCUGUUAUGGAUGGCAAUUGGACUUGUUGGGGUUGUUCUGGAAGACGUCUGGCCUCUCAUCCGAGCAGGCUUCCUCGGUUCGUGCGCAAACGCCAGAAAGGACAGCUCGCCCUUUCUGGCCUUGAGCAUCGAUCGAAGAAGUCUGCUCGGACGAGAGGCCGAACGUCUUCCAGAAAACCAGUCGCCAUUCAUGUGGGGCCCUGAAAAAUGGGAAAAGAAGCCCCGCCCAUCAAGGGAAAGACCAAUCAGAACGUGGCAUGCAAAAUUAAAUUGCGUAGCCCCGCCCACCCAAAAAUCCAAAUGAUUUACAUAACCACACCGACUAUGCUAAUUUACCGGUAUCUAUGCAAAUGUGCGACGUGACUCCGCCCAUUUCAAAAUCCAGCCAAUCAGAGCGAUGUAUGCUAAUUAAUUUG